rnacentral:lncRNA from 1 species
CACAUUUUUCUCAAUUCUUUUAGACCAAAGAAGGAAACCUGAACAAAACUGGAGCUAAUAAUAUGAUUAAGAAGGACCACAUGCGCUAGCACAGCAGAUUCUUGGCUGAGGGCCCUGGUUAAAGGAAGAAUCUUCGAAGUCAUCAAUUUUAAUGAGCACUGUGAGUAUCCCAGUAAACUAGAUCCCUUUAUUUCUGUUUGCUUGACAAAGAAACUUGAUACAUCCAAGACAUUUAUUCUUUAUUCAGUUCAGC